AUGAACCCAACAAGGGUGCGUUGUCCCCUCUACCCUGCGAGGGACACGGCCAUCCUCCCAACAGUCCCCAAUACCAGCAUCCAUCACGAUGGCUUCACAUACCACGAUCGUGAGAUCCUCGUCAGUCGCGGCGGCCAGUGUCUGUCCUACUUCUGUUUGGCAAUAAUGCAUAAAGAGCAGCAGACAGUUGUGGAUGUGUACGCACUACAACAAGGUACCAGCUGGACCAUCUACUCUUCAUCUGUAACUGACAUCCCUAGAAUUAGACUCCUAUUGCCUUCUACUUUACUCGCUGAUGCCAAGAUCUACAAUUUGGCCUUUGUGAACAGUUAUAAGUUGAUCCUGCUAGAUCUUGUGUCCCGAUCUUUGUCAUUUGUGAACUUUCCAGAAGAGGUUAAGCGGUUGAGCUUCGAGCUAUCGCUCACGAAUGAUUCUCAUCUUCAUCUGAUCCAUGUAAAGGGAUCUCAGCUUCGCAUCUGGCUCCACAGAAUGGAUAGCAAUAAUGGCGUCUCCAACUGGUUCCUUGAGCGUACCAUCUGUUUGCGUGAGAUAUGUGCUAACUAUAGGAUACCAACUUGCAUGUUCAAGGAUGGGAGUGAUUCAGCAGUUGCCAAGGUGCAUGCGGUUGGGGUAGAUUCUGACUUCGUUUUCUUGGAGAUGGAACAUGUCCUCUACCUCUUUGAUAUUAAGAGCAAGGCGGCAAAGAAGGUUUACAAGAUGACGCCAGAGGAUAAAAUUUUAUAUAGUGUCAUUCCUUUUAUGAUGGUUUGGCCUCCUAAAUUCCCUGCAUUGAAGGAGAUGCGCGAUCCAACAGAAUGA
rnacentral:rRNA from 1 species